UACGUAGGGAGCAAGCGUUGUCCGGAUUUAUUGGGCGUAAAGAGCUCGUAGGCGGUUAAGUAAGUCAGGUGUGAAACCUCCAGGCUCAACCUGGAGACGCCACUUGAUACUGCUUUGACUUGAGUUCGGUAGGGGUAAGCGGAAUUCCUGGUGUAGCGGUGAAAUGCGCAGAUAUCAGGAGGAACACCUGCGGUGUAGACGGCUUACUGGACCAUAACUGACGCUGAGGCACGAAAGCGUGGGUAGCAAACAGG
rnacentral:rRNA from 1 species